AAUCACUUUUCCCUACUCCCAAAAUAUUGAACUAUACGACUGCAUCUAUACAUCCAUUCCUCCAUUGUGAAUCUCAACCAAACUAAUCUUAUUUUCUAUCUCUUGGUUCAAACGAAAGAGGUUUCGAAAUCUUGCUCUCCUGCCACUCAGGUUUGCCUCUGUUUUUGGGAAAAGGUUUGGAGUGGAGGUUGAGACAUCAAGUUUUGAUGUCAUAGGUGUGUUAUUUUCCAGAUCUGCGUAUACACUUUUCUAGAUCUGCAAGUGAACUGUUAUUUCUAUGUCUGAGAGUGGAUUUCUACAAACAGAGAAUGGAUAGUGAACUUGUCUCCCAUUUACAAUUGAUUGCUAAUAUAAAAAAUCAUAGUCAAAUUAAGGUACUGUGACGGAGCAUCUUUUACGGGAGAUAGUGAAAAUGAGGCUGCACAGCUUCAAUGUCAAGGACAAAAAAUAUGGCUAGCUGCAAUAGAGGAGGUGCCAGUGUGAUCUUAUGUUGAUAUGGUGCGUGUUUCUGUUUCUAUGCAUUCUACUUUGAAACCAAUAUAAUAGUGCUUAUGUAUCUCUGUGCAACUGCAAAUCCCGAUGGCCAAAAGCGAGCCCUUGUGAUCGGAGGAGGAAUUGCUAACUUCAUUGAUAUUGAUAUUGAUCCAGAAAAUAAAACAGAAGACUGUGUUCAUUCACUUGCUUGAUUUAUGACAAUAUAUAUCUUCUGACUUUUGGUUUCUGUUGUAAGUUAAGAACGUAUCCGCCACUGUUAAUUUGUUCCUACUUUGAUGAAAAUGUUUUGAUUCAUUACAUCAUUAAAUAAGGACUGGAAUUCUCAAAUGAUAUGAGCAGCAUUGUUUGAUAUUCUGAAAUUCUGAUUCAGUUGCAAUAGGGACUGUUUUGCAAUGGGAGUGGGAGUGUUUUGACUAAGGGACUGUUCUGAAAUUGUAUUCUGAAAUCUUUAGUAAGUAUGGUAAUGGGACUGUUUUGACUAA